rnacentral:lncRNA from 10 species
UUUUUCUAUAAUUCUAAGGUAUACAUUUUUCUUGAAAUGAUGUGAUAGUCACAGCCAUAUAACUGUCACUUUUAUACUAUACUAUUCUUUAGGUAAAUAAUGAAGAUGAAACACCUAGCAACUGGGUCUAUUUUUCAAGUUAAUAAUUUCUAGGAACCUAAGUCAGAGAAAUAUUUUUCAGCUGAGCUAACAAAAGCAAGGAAUUGACUCCAGCGAACAGCUCAUUGCAGCAUUAAUAGAAAUUGACUGCCAGGCUUCUCUGCACACCCAAAAUAUCAUCACCAAUAUCAUGCUAUGGAUUACAAUGGCAAGCACUAUAAGAAUGGGAAAGAAAACUUCAGUCACCUAUGAACUGAUUUCAAAUGCAGCCCAUCCCGCUGGUAGAUGAAGUUGAUCACCAGAACCAGCUUCAUCGUUGCCCAGAUCCUGUUUAAAUGCCAAUAAGCACACAGAGAAAUAAAGCAUGGAAAGAAAACAACUAAUGUAGGGUGAGUUAUCAAACAAGCUUUUAUUGUAUCUUAGAGGAAGCUUUUCCCAAUAGUCAUUAUGAGAGUUAGUGUAGAACAUACACCAUGUUGUUGUGCCACAUAAGGGGUG